AAAAAUAGCUUCUGUUACUAAAGUCAUGCAUAGAACAACUUGCUUGUUCUGCAUGUGGAAUCAACAUCAAGAUGUCAGAAGUUUAUUUUUUUGUUACUUGGGCAGUUGGUGAUCAUUGGUUCAGCCAUCCUU